GCCUGCAUCGAAAGUGAUUGUGGCACUAUUAGUGGCCUGAUCAUUGAUACUGCAGGAAUAGAAUUUUGUGAAGGCUUUUCCCGUGUUUGGAUGUCAUACACUUUACAUACCAAACCCUGUGACCUUCACACA